UGAGGCCCUAUAAAGGCCCUCUCUUCUGUCCUUAAACAUAUUUCUUCUCCUGUUCACCUUCAGCUACUUAUAAAAGACUGGAGGAUGUGUGAACAGCAUCCCAGGAAUGCCAUCUACUUACCACAUCCAUUCACUGAAACAUAAAAUGAAACAUUUUAAUUAAACUAUAUGAGCACAUCUUAAUUAAAAGAGAGCAGUGCAAUAUUCUUUGUUUAUAGGCACUGCAAGAGAAGACUGCAUGUCUUUAAAAAUUUUGCAUGAAGGAGAAUUUUUGAACUCGUUAUACACGACUAUUCACAGCGCAUUCCAAAAGUAUUCAUACCACUUACAUCUUUUUUCCAUAAAUCUUUAUGUACUUGGUUGGGAUUUUACACCAAUAUAAAGCAAUUUACAGUUGUGUGGCUGAAAGAAAACAACACUUGGUUUUCAAUCUUCUUUUUUUCACAGAAAAAUCCAAGUGUAAUUCAAUCUGAUAACCCAAAAUAAAAUACUCCAAAUUGCUGUCAAAAUUAACAUAUUUUCAAAGCGAAGUCUACAUGUGAGUAAUUUCAUUCUCUGAAAGCCUCAGAAAGUGCGCUAGAGAACAUCAGUGAACAAACACCAUAAUCAAAAGUCACACAAAACAUAAAAUUUCUCCAUAAAUGUUAUAGAUAUGGAUAAAUGUUAUAAAUGUUAAAUAUUCCAAGCUUUUGAGGUCUUGGAGAGCUCUAUCUAAUCCAUCAUCUCUAGAUGAAUCUAGAUCUUCCUGCAAACCAACCAAGACACGACCAUCCACCUAAAUGGUGGGCAUCUAGUAAAAAGAUAAAACAAGCAAGAUAAUAAUAUAAAAAGAUAAAAAUAAACACAUAAUAUUGUUCACUGAGUCACCAAUAAAGGAUGACAGCAGUGGUUCCACAAUCUUGAGGUAAAUCCGACUGUCCUCAAUGCGGGGUUUGCUAAAAUUAUAUUAUUGCAUUUCACAGAUAAUGUGUCAUGCAAUAAUAUACACAUGCAUUUUUACGUAACAUUUCUGAGCACAGCUGGACAUGUGGGUAUAGCCUUAUGUACAAACGUAUGGCUGUCACUACUUCAUGUAGGCACUGUAAGUAGUAGCCUCAUACCAUCAUUGUAGACCACGUAAAGUUUCUGCAUGCUGCAUCUUUUGUAUAGUCACAACAGAUGGGCAGUAUAUAGUGAAUCACAAAAUCCAUGGCAAGAUUUGGAAAUGGUGUUCACAGAUGCUCUUGGGCAGAACUUGAGCUUUGUUACAAAGAUGAAUGGUCAGAAGUUUCAGUCUUUUUAUAUGCAAAGCUGGCAGAGACAGAACCCAAAAAAACGUGCUGCUGUAAUUGCAGCUAAAAAAGGCUCUGCUAACUUUAGACUCAGAGGAGCCUGAAUACAAGCUGUGUAUUGUUUCAUUUUAGUUCCACUGUACUUAAAUAAAAUACGUUGAAGUGUGUGAGUGUAACAUGACAAAAUGUGCAAAAGUUGAACACACGUGUGAAUAUGCUUGGAAGCCCUGAAGUUACAGCAAGGAAAUAUUGCAGAUAUUAACUUUUUGCACGAAGGACAUUUUGAACAACUAAUACUGUUUCUUUUUGUGUUAUUUGUGUUGUUUUCCAAGCAAAUUUGUUGUUUGAAUAUCACUAGGCGGUAGUAUUUUUUUCAUAGCUAACUGUUAAUGUGAAGUGUUAAAAUUGUGAAAUGAGGAGAACAUUGUUCAUGUUUCAUUAUUUUUUUUAUUUUAUAGAGGUUGUUAUACAUUCAGUGAGUUUCCCCAUUAUUUUUGAUGAAUGUUUCCAAACUGAAUAUGCUUAAUAAACACAUUUAGGAAAAUUGUAA